GGCUCAGGAUGAACGCUAGCGGCAGGCUUAAUACAUGCAAGUCGUGGGGCAGCAGGGUGUAGCAAUACAUUGCUGGCGACCGGCAAACGGGUGCGUAACACGUACGCAACUUUCCUUUAAGCGGGGAAUAGCCCAGAGAAAUUUGGAUUAAUACCCCAUAAAAUUUUGAGAUGGCAUCAUCUUAUUAUUAAAGCUCCGGCACUUGAAGAUGGGCGUGCGGCUGAUUAGGUAGUUGGCGGGGUAACGGCCCACCAAGCCAGCGAUCAGUAGCUGAUGUGAGAGCAUGAUCAGCCACACGGGCACUGAGACACGGGCCCGACUCCUACGGGAGGCAGCAGUAAGGAAUAUUGGUCAAUGGACGAAAGUCUGAACCAGCCAUGCCGCGUGGAGGAUGAAGGUCCUCUGGAUUGUAAACUUCUUUUAUCUGGGACGAAAAAAGGGAAUUCUUUCUCACUUGACGGUACCAGAUGAAUAAGCACCGGCUAACUCCGUGCCAGCAGCCGCGGUAAUACGGAGGGUGCAAGCGUUAUCCGGAUUCACUGGGUUUAAAGGGUGCGUAGGCGGGCAGAUAAGUCAGCGGUGAAAUCCCCGAGCUUAACG
rnacentral:rRNA from 1 species